rnacentral:rRNA from 1 species
UCUCCCGGGGGGGUGGCCAGCGCCCGCCAGAGGACCAUCAAACUCCAGUCAGUAAACGAUGCAGUCUGAAAAACAUUUAAUAAACUAAAACUUUCAACAACGGAUCUCUUGGUUCUGGCAUCGAUGAAGAACGCAGCGAAAUGCGAUAAGUAAUGUGAAUUGCAGAAUUCAGUGAAUCAUCGAAUCUUUGAACGCACAUUGCGCCCUUUGGUAUUCCGAAGGGCAUGCCUGUUCGAGCGUCAUUACAACCCUCAAGCUCUGCUUGGUAUUGGGCACCGUCCUUUGCGGGCGCGCCUCAAAGACCUCGGCGGUGGCGUCUUGCCUCAAGCGUAGUAGAACAUACAUCUCGCUUCGGAGCGCAGGGCGUCGCCCGCCGGACGAACCUUCUGAACUUCUCAAGGUGACCUCGGAUCAGUAG